AUAGCUGUAAUCUUUCAUAUCUCACAUAAGAUCUCACUACCUGGAGUGACAUAUCCUGGUGCGGCGGCGCUGACGAAGGCUCCUCUCGCGAGGGCUGCUCUUCCUCUUCCUCGGGCGACCUGAGCUGCUACUGCUGAGGCGGCGGCGGCGGCCGCCAGGACUCCUUUUGUCUGGACAAAGACAUGCUGUUUACAAACCAGCAUGCACACAGGCUCACUGCAUUUGGACCAGAGAAGAGUUUUUCUAGAGCCGCUAGAGCAGCACUGGCCUUUGCUACUUUUUUAUUGGGGCCUGCCCCACGAAACUUCUGUGCAUCAACCUCCACCUGACACGAACACACACAAACACACACAUAAAGAAGUCAUGACUUACUCAGCCAGUGAGUCUGGCUGAACAGGACGGCUUGUUUAGCGAGGCCCUGCUGUCAGGCAGGCUUGCUAAUCAAUCAGCGGAGCGAUGGAGCGGCCAGGCAUGUCGGAAAACAACACACCCCACAGAGAACAGGCCUGCUCCAUGAACCAAGCUGACUGAUUGACACAACCGGAGAUCAGCCUGCUUCUGAGUGUGUGUGUGUGUGCCCGGUUAUGUUUCUCCCCAUG